rfam:Kluyvera intestini strain GT-16 tig00000000, whole genome shotgun sequence.
AUUCCAUUUCUUCGGCUAAUCAAAGAUAAUACGCCCCCGGUUUGCACACCGGGAAUCCAGAGAGUUCAUGUAC